rnacentral:rRNA from 1 species
UACGUAGGUGGCAAGCGUUGUCCGGAAUUAUUGGGCGUAAAGCGCGCGCAGGUGGUUUCUUAAGUCUGAUGUGAAAGCCCACGGCUCAACCGUGGAGGGUCAUUGGAAACUGGGGAACUUGAGUGCAGGAGAGAAGAGUGGAAUUCCACGUGUAGCGGUGAAAUGCGUAGAGAUGUGGAGGAACACCAGUGGCGAAGGCGACUCUUUGGCCUGUAACUGACACUGAGGCGCGGAAGCGUGGGGAGCAAACAGG